rnacentral:rRNA from 1 species
UGCCAGCCGCCGCGGUAAUACAGAGGGCUCAAGCGUUAAUCGGUAUCACUGGGCUUAAAGGGUGCGUAGGCGGGCCUGCAAGUGCUUUGUGAAAUCCCACGGCUCAACCGUGGAAUUGCUUGGCAGACUGCAGGUCUUGAGGUUGGUAGGGGCUGUCGGAACUCUAGGUGUAGCGGUGAAAUGCGUAGAUAUCUAGAGGAACACCAAAGGUGAAGACAGGCAGCUGGGCCAGUCCUGACGCUGAGGCACGAAAGCGUGGGUAGCGAACGGGAUUAGAUA